AGCGAACGCUGGCGGCAGGCCUAAUACAUGCAAGUCGAGCGGGUCCUUCGGGAUUAGCGGCGGACGGGUGAGUAACGCGUGGGAACGUGCCCUUUGGUACGGAACAACUGAGGGAAACUUCAGCUAAUACCGUAUGUGCCCUUCGGGGGAAAGAUUUAUCGCCAUUGGAGCGGCCCGCGUUGGAUUAGGUAGUUGGUGAGGUAAAGGCUCACCAAGCCUACGAUCCAUAGCUGGUCUGAGAGGAUGACCAGCCACACUGGGACUGAGACACGGCCCAGACUCCUACGGGAGGCAGCAGUAGGGAAUCUUGCGCAAUGGGCGAAAGCCUGACGCAGCCAUGCCGCGUGAAUGAUGAAGGUCUUAGGAUUGUAAAAUUCUUUCACCGGGGACGAUAAUGACGGUACCCGGAGAAGAAGACCCCGGCUAACUUCGUGCCAGCAGCCGCGGUAAU
rnacentral:rRNA from 1 species